rnacentral:antisense_RNA from 1 species
UGGUGCUGGAGGCUUUUGCCCCAGCCAGCGGUAACACUGUUUGACUGUGGUAAAAGCAGAAAGCCCCGAGUAAUUUUUCAAUUAACCUGUACUGCACCCAUUUUGUUGGACGAUGAAAUGGAAUAGCCCCUGAUAUGUCAAAGCCAAAAUACCCUUUUGAAAAG